UACGUAGGCAGCGAGCGUUGUUCGGAGUUACUGGGCGUAAAGGGUGUGUAGGCGGUCUUUUAAGUUUGGUGUGAAAUCUCCCGGCUCAACCGGGAGGGUGCGCCGAAAACUGGGAGACUGGAGUGCGGGAUGGGAGAGUGGAAUUCCUGGUGUAGCGGUGAAAUGCGUAGAUAUCAGGAGGAACACCGGUGGUGUAGACGGCUCUCUGGACCGCGACUGACGCUGAGACACGAAAGCGUGGGUAGCAAACAGG
rnacentral:rRNA from 1 species